rnacentral:rRNA from 1 species
UACAGAGGGUGCGAGCGUUAAUCGGAAUUACUGGGCGUAAAGCGUGCGUAGGUGGAUACCUAAGUCGAAUGUGAAAUCCCCGGGCUUAACCUGGGAACUGCAUCCGAUACUGGGUAUCUGGAGUAUGGUAGAGGAAAGUGGAAUUCCCGGUGUAGCGGUGAAAUGCGUAGAUAUCGGGAGGAACAUCAGUGGCGAAGGCGACUUUCUGGACUAAUACUGACACUGAGGCACGAAAGCGUGGGGAGCAAACAGG